AUUGAACGCUGGCGGCAGGCCUAACACAUGCAAGUCGAACGGUAACAGGAAACAGCUUGCUGUUUCGCUGACGAGUGGCGGACGGGUGAGUAAUGUCUGGGAAACUGCCUGAUGGAGGGGGAUAACUACUGGAAACGGUAGCUAAUACCGCAUAACGUCGCAAGACCAAAGAGGGGGACCUUCGGGCCUCUUGCCAUCGGAUGUGCCCAGAUGGGAUUAGCUAGUAGGUGGGGUAACGGCUCACCUAGGCGACGAUCCCUAGCUGGUCUGAGAGGAUGACCAGCCACACUGGAACUGAGACACGGUCCAGACUCCUACGGGAGGCAGCAGUGGGGAAUAUUGCACAAUGGGCGCAAGCCUGAUGCAGCCAUGCAGCGUGUAUGAAGAAGGCCUUCGGGUUGUAAAGUACUUUCAGCGGGGAGGAAGGGAGUAAAGUUAAUACCUUUACUCAUUGACGUUACCCGCAGAAGAAGCACCGGCUAACUCCGU
rnacentral:rRNA from 1 species